rnacentral:rRNA from 1 species
ACUCCUACGGGAGGCAGCAGUGGGGAAUAUUGGACAAUGGACGAAAGUCUGAUUCAGCAACGCCGCGUGAGCGAUGAAGGCCUUCGGGUCGUAAAGCUCUGUCAGAUGGAACGAAAGAAGCUAACCUAACACGUUAGCUGUUGACGGCACCAUCAAAGGAAGCACCGGCUAACUCUGUGCCAGCAGCCGCGGUAAU